AACGGACGCAGGCGGCAGGCUUAACACACGCAAGUCGAACGCGUGUAGCAAUACACGAGUGGCGCACGGGUGAGUAACGCGUGGAUAUCUGCCUUCUGGUUCGGAAUAACCCCGGGAAACUGGGGCUAAUACCGAAUGGUUCCUACGGGAUAAAGAUUUAUCGCCAGAAGAUGAGUCCGCGUCCGAUUAGCUAGUUGGUGAGGUAACGGCUCACCAAGGCGACGAUCGGUAGCUGGUCUGAGAGGACGAUCAGCCACACUGGGACUGAGACACGGCCCAGACUCCUACGGGAGGCAGCAGUGGGGAAGAUUGGACAAUGGGGGCAACCCUGAUCCAGCCAUGCCGCGUGAGUGAUGAAGGCCUUCGGGUUGUAAAGCUCUUUUGGCGGGGACGAUGAUGACGGUACCCGCAGAAUAAGCCCCGGCUAACUUCGUGCCAGCCGCCGCCGUAAGAC
rnacentral:rRNA from 1 species